AACGAACGCUGGCGGCAGGCCUAACACAUGCAAGUCGAGCGCGCCCUUCGGGGUGAGCGGCGGACGGGUGAGUAACGCGUGGGAACGUGCCCUUCUCUGCGGAAUAGCCUCGGGAAACUGAGAGUAAUACCGCAUACGCCCUUUGGGGGAAAGAUUUAUCGGAGAAGGAUCGGCCCGCGUUGGAUUAGGUAGUUGGUGGGGUAAUGGCCCACCAAGCCGACGAUCCAUAGCUGGUUUGAGAGGAUGAUCAGCUACACUGGGACUGAGACACGGCCCAGCCUCCUACGGGAGGCAGCAGUGGGGAAUCUUAGACAAUGGGGGCAACCCUGAUCUAGCCAUGCCGCGUGAGUGAUGAAGGCCUUAGGGUUGUAAAGCUCUUUCAGCUGGGAAGAUAAUGACGGUACCAGCAGAAGAAGCCCCGGCUAACUCCGUG
rnacentral:rRNA from 1 species